CGUCCACCUUCUGCAGCAAGUGGGAGGACUGCUCCCCAGCCUACUGCGCCGCGUCAAGCCCCUGCCGCCUGCAGCCAUGCCUCCACCGACCACUCCGCCUGCUCCACCUGCGCCACCCACCCAGAUCCUCGACGAGAGAUACAAAGACAUGGUAUGUUUCACAUGUGGGGGGCCUAGACAUUAUGUUGGUAACUGCAUAGAGAAGAAAAUCUGCUUUAUUUGUGGUCUAGAGGGGCACAAUGUCAACAACUGUUCAGCUUGGGCGCAGCCACACCCUGUUGCAACCUUUUUUGGCAGUUCUGCUCUUGGUUUAGGAUUAUAUCAUAUUGAUGCACCUGUGGGCCGUGAAGCGAAUUGGCGGACUUUCAGGAACUGUGGUGAGGUCCAUGUGUUUAAAGGAGAGAUCAAGCAGGUAGAUCUGAUUAAAAAUCUUUCUGAGAUCUUCUGCAAGCUUAGACAGUGGCCAUGGCAAGUCAGCACAUUCUCAGAGAAAAAGUUCUUGGUUAGAUUCCCUCCUUGGAAGAAGGUUGAAGAACUAACUGAAUUCCCUGCCUUUGAUCUGCCAAUUACUGGUGUUUCAGUCUCUGUUGAGAAAUGGACUGGUGCAAUAGACCCUUUAUCCGAGAAAUGGACUGGUGCAAUAGACCCUUCGAUCUGCCAAUUACUUGCUUGGGUUGUUGUUGAAGGCCUGUCGUCAAAAUGGUGCAUGUGGAAGGUAUUCUCUCAGAUUGCCUCAUGCUUUGGGAUCCUGGUAGAUGUGGACUGGAAUGGGCUGAUGAAGAGCUUUUAUGAGAAAGUCGGAAUCAAGAUUGCGUGUAGGAGUCUUGAGAAAAUUCCUUUUGAACGGAUUAUGGAAAUGAGGAAAAAGCUAUACAUUCUAUCUUUCACUGUUGAAGGUUUUGAACAAGUGGGUGCUGAUGAUCCUAAUGAUGAUAAUGGACCUACUGAUAUAGAUGUGGAUGGCUUGGAAAAUGAUCUUGAUGUGGGUGAUACUGACAAGGAUCGCUUGGAAGAUGGUGAGGAUGGUUUUGAUGAACUGGAUCUAGCUAAUAGAGCUAGCACCUCUGAAAACCCACCUGCUAGUAAAGGUAAGGAGUGCACCACCUUUCAUCCUCCUGCAUUGGUGGAAGCUUGCUAUACUCCUUGCAAAAAACCUGAGGACAAUGUGGAGAAAGAAAGCUGUCAGACUGCUGUCAUCCUCCCCUUUGCUGAAGUUAUCAAACUUCUAGAUGGGCCUGAGAUGAACACACCUGAUCCUCAAGCUGAAGCUGAUUUUGCUGACACUAUUGGCAGCCUUGUAGUUUCUGCCCAGAAAACAUACUUCUCUGACCUACUGAGAGAUUUUGAUAGCUCUGGUUCGGAUACUGCCACUGAAGCUGGAGAUACUGAUAGUGAAAUGGAGACCUUAAUUGAGCCAGUCGUGAACUGUCUGAAGAUGCUGGAGUUCAGGAACAAGGUGAGAAAUGAUACUGCUGGUAACAAUAUCCCUCCCCCCUCCCUCCAAGAAGAACAUCUCUGGUAAAUGGGGCCCAAUUCUCUCUCAAAGGCCUUCAACCCGAGUGCAGAGGAACCAGAAUAUAAUGGAAACAACUGAAGCAUACAAGAUGAGGAAGAACCUGGAAAUCCCUGCUACUUUCAAAAGGCGUGUCGUGGACAGGCAUUCGGGUGAUCCUGGGGAGAGCGUGUGUUCUGUUGCAUUAGUGAAAAAUCUUAUGCGUCUGGGAUCAAUCGGUGCUACUGCGGCGUUGUCUCCUCCUGCUGGACCGACGAAGAAGCGAGCUGCUGCGCAUUGCAUGGGAGGAGGGACCAAGGCUGGUGCAAAUAAGGGACUAGAUGGACUCAUGCUCAAGGCGCACACUGGAUGAUCUGUCCCUCCUGCGUGAGGAUGUCAUUCUGUAAUAGGAUAGACCUUACUUAGAUCCCUUGUUGCGCGCCGGAUGUGUUGCCGAACCAAUUGCUCUUAGUAGUUGUAGUUUGCAUAUAGUCUGGCCUGCUACUUUGGUGAGGCUCGAGUGCUACCAUUAUGUUUCGGUUUGCUGUUACCCCUUUUGUUCCAAAAAAAUUAUACAAUGACAAUCAAUCGGAUAGCAUUCACAGAUA